rnacentral:lncRNA from 1 species
AACAACUUGAUUAACUUAUUUUUAUUUAGGAUUUAAGGUUAAGCCAACUAUUUAAUUGUAUUUUUCAAAUACAAUCACAAAAAAAUAGUAUAUUACUAACGAUACAAUCUGUCAGUAAAUUAUAUUUGUUGAUGGAUUAUCGAUGGAUCCAAUAAUUUAUCGGUAAGUAACGACAAUUAUAAAUUUGUCAAUAAAUAUUUGUUUAUAAAUAUUCGUCGGUAAAAUAUUCGAUCUCUUUUUAUUCUUCUUUUACUUUUAUUUGUUCCUCUUUUUCCUCAUCGCAUGCAUCAUGCCACCACCACCACCUUUAAGUCAUUUUUAUUUUUUUUAGUCUCAUCUACCUCCACUUGUCUUCCUUUUUUCUCUUUAUCUUCUUCCACAUCUUCCACCUCAUUCUUCAUCUCCGACAACCACCAUAAUCAUCACCAACAUCCUCCACUUACGCAUCAUUGGUGUUAUUAACAAGGGUUUCCUCCUCCUCCUCCUCUUUCUCUUCUUUUCACCCAGUUCCUCUAAAUAUGAAAAAUAAAAAAUCCAUCAGAUUAGG